rnacentral:rRNA from 1 species
UGGGGAAUUUUGGACAAUGGGCGAAAGCCUGAUCCAGCAAUGCCGCGUGUGUGAAGAAGGCCUUCGGGUUGUAAAGCACUUUUGUCCGGAAAGAAAACCUUGGCUCUAAUACAGUCGGGGGAUGACGGUACCGGAAGAAUAAGCACCGGCUAACUACGUGCCAGCAGCCGCGGUAAUACGUAGGGUGCAAGCGUUAAUCGGAAUUACUGGGCGUAAAGCGUGCGCAGGCGGUUUGCUAAGACCGAUGUGAAAUCCCCGGGCUCAACCUGGGAACUGCAUUGGUGACUGGCAGGCUAGAGUAUGGCAGAGGGGGGUAGAAUUCCACGUGUAGCAGUGAAAUGCGUAGAGAUGUGGAGGAAUACCGAUGGCGAAGGCAGCCCCCUGGGCCAAAUACUGACGCUCAUGCACGAAAGCGUGGGGAGCAAACAGGAUUAGAUACCCUGGUAGUCCACGCCCUAAAACGAUGUCAACUAGUUGUUGGGGAUUCAUUUCCUUAGUAACGUAGCUAACGCGUGAAGUUGACCGCCUGGGGAGUACGGUCGCAAGAUU